rnacentral:rRNA from 1 species
AGUGAACGCUGGCGGUAGGCCUAACACAUGCAAGUCGAACGGCAGCACAGGAGAGCUUGCUCUCUGGGUGGCGAGUGGCGGACGGGUGAGGAAUACAUCGGAAUCUACUCUGUCGUGGGGGAUAACGUAGGGAAACUUACGCUAAUACCGCAUACGACCUACGGGUGAAAGCAGGGGACCUUCGGGCCUUGCGCGAUUGAAUGAGCCGAUGUCGGAUUAGCUAGUUGGCGGGGUAAAGGCCCACCAAGGCGACGAUCCGUAGCCGGUCUGAGAGGAUGGUCAGCCACACUGGAACUGAGACACGGUCCAGACUCCUACGGGAGGCAGCAGUGGGGAAUAUUGGACAAUGGGCGCAAGCCUGAUCCAGCCAUACCGCGUGGGUGAAGAAGGCCUUCGGGUUGUAAAGCCCUUUUGUUGGGAAAGAAAUCCAGCUGGCUAAUACCCGGUUGGGAUGACGGUACCCAAAGAAUAAGCACCGGCUAACUUCGUGCCAGCAGCCGCGGUAA